rnacentral:rRNA from 1 species
UACGAAGGGUGGUAGCGUUGCUCGGAAUCACUGGGCGUAAAGCGCACGCAGGCGGACUCUUAAGUCGGUGGUGAAAUCCUGGAGCUCAACUCCAGAACUGCCUUCGAUACUGAGAGUCUCGAGUCCGGGAGAGGUGAGUGGAACUGCGAGUGUAGAGGUGAAAUUCGUAGAUAUUCGCAAGAACACCAGUGGCGAAGGCGGCUCCCUGGCCCGGUACUGACGCUGAGGUGCGAAAGCGUGGGGAGCAAACAGG